GAUGAAGAACGUAGUGAAAUGCGAUACGUAAUGUGAAUUGCAGAAUUCAGUGAAUCAUCGAGUCUUUGAACGCACAUUGCGCCCCCUGGUAUUCCGGGGGGCAUGUCUGUCCGAGCGUCAUUGCUGCCCUCAAGCACGGCUUGUGUGUUGGGCCUCCGCCCCCCGGCUCCCGGGGGGCGGGCCCGAAAGGCAGCGGCGGCACCGCGUCCGGUCCUCGAGCGUAUGGGGCUUCGUCACCCGCUCCGUAGGCCCGGCCGGCGCCCGCCGGCGACCCCCCUCAAUCUUUCCAGGUUGACCUCGGAUCAGGUAGGGAUACCCGCUGAACUUAAGCAUAUCAAUAAGCGGAGGA
rnacentral:misc_RNA from 1 species